GUUUCCUAUGCUACGCCGACGGCGUUGGCCGCUCGUUCUGGCCCGACAGUGUUGCCCAUCUCGCAAGAGACGGUGUCUUGUUGUCGGUCGUUGGUUCGUGGUGGCUAGCGUUUAGUUACGCUAGUGUGUGUGACGUCGGUGUGAAAGUCGACGACGUUUCCGACCCGUCUUGAAACACGGAUUACGGAGUGUUUGUCUGCUGCGAGUCAAAGGGUGUAAAAACCUUGCGGCGCAAUGAAAGUGAAGGUUAGUCUCGAACUGACCGACGUGGGAUCCGUGCUCUUCGGAGUGCGGCGCACCACGGCCCUAUGCGUGUCACUUGUGACUGUGUAGAGGUUGAGCAGUAGGCAAGCGACCCGAAAGAUGGUGAACUAUGCCUGAGCAGGAUGAAGCCAGAGGAAACUCUGGUGGAAGUCCGUAUCGGUUCUGACGUGCAAAUCGAUCGAUAGACUUGGGUAUAGGGGCGAAAGACUAAUCGAACCAUCUAGUAGCUGGUUCCUUCCGAAGUUUCCCUCAGGAUAGCUGGAACUCUUGCAGUUAUAUUCGGUAAAGCUAAUGAUUAGAGGCCUUGGGGACGUAAUGUCCUCAACCUAUUCUCAAACUUUCAAUGGAUAUGGCGUCGCAGUUUCUUUAGUGAACUGCGGCGUGAAUGCGAGUUCCAAGUGGGCCAUUUUUGGUAAGCAGAACUGGCGCUGUGGGAUGAACCAAACGUGGAGUUAAGGUGCCUAACUUCUCGCUUAUGAGACCCCAUAAAAGGUGUUGGUUGAUAUUGACAGCAGGACGGUGGCCAUGGAAGUCGGUACCCGCUAAGGAGUGUGUAACAACUCACCUGCCGAAUCAACUAGCCCUGAAAAUGGAUGGCGCUUAAGCGAGAGACCUAUACUCCGCCGUCGCGGCAUGUGCGUUGUCUAGCGCCAGGUCGCGACGAGUAGGAAGGACGUGGCGGUUGCGUUGAAGGCUAUGAGCGUAGGCUCGGCUGGAGCUUCCGUCAGUGCAGAUCGUAAUGGUAGUAGCAAAUAUUCAAGUUCGAUCCUUGAAGACUGAAGUGGAGAAGGGUUCCACGUGAACAGUAGUUGGAUGUGGGUCAGUCGAUCCUAAGGUACUGGCGAAAGCCUUGUAUCAUCGGUGGCGAAAAGCUUGCUUUUUGUCCCCGCCCGUCGAAAGGGAAUAGGGUUAAUAUUCCCUAACUGAGAUGCAAAGAUUGUGUUCUUCGGAGCACAAGCGCGGUAACGC
rnacentral:ncRNA from 1 species